CCUACGGGGGGCAGCAGUAAGGAAUAUUGGUCAAUGGACGAAAGUCUGAACCAGCCAUGCCGCGUGGAGGAUGAAGGUCCUCUGGAUUGUAAACUUCUUUUAUAUGGGACGAAAAAAGGGUUUUCUAACUCGUCUGACGGUACCAUAUGAAUAAGCACCGGCUAACUCCGUGCCAGCAGCCGCGGUAAUACGGAGGGUGCAAGCGUUAUCCGGAUUCACUGGGUUUAAAGGGUGCGUAGGUGGGUUGGUAAGUCAGUGGUGAAAUCUCCGAGCUUAACUUGGAAACUGCCAUUGAUACUAUCAGUCUUGAAUAUUGUGGAGGUCAGCGGAAUAUGUCAUGUAGCGGUGAAAUGCUUAGAUAUGACAUAGAACACCAAUUGCGAAGGCAGCUGGCUACACAUCUAUUGACACUGAGGCACGAAAGCGUGGGGAUCAAACAGGAUUAGAUACCCUGGUAGUC
rnacentral:rRNA from 1 species